rnacentral:rRNA from 1 species
AACGAACGCUGGCGGCAUGCCUAACACAUGCAAGUCGAACGAGACCUUCGGGUCUAGUGGCGCACGGGUGCGUAACGCGUGGGAACCUGCCCUUAGGUUCGGAAUAACUCCCCGACAGGGGUGCUAAUACCGGAUAAUGUAUGCGGACCAAAGAUUUAUCGCCUUUGGAUGGGCCGGCGUUGGAUUAGCUAGUUGGUAGGGUAAAAGCCUACCAAGGCGACGAUACAUAGCUGGUCUGAGAGGAUGAUCAGCCACACUGGGACUGAGACACGGCCCAGACUCCUACGGGAGGCAGCAGUGGGGAAUAUUGGACAAUGGGCGAAAGCCUGAUCCAGCUAUGCCGCGUGAGUGAUGAAGGCCUUAGGGUUGUAAAGCUCUUUUACCCGGGAUGAUAAUGACAGUACCGGGAGAAUAAGCACCGGCUAACUCCGUG